CAUCGUUUCCGGACAUAUAUAUUAUCAACGAGACAACGAGCUGCAUCUCAGAUGGCUGUAAAGAUUUUGUGUCUCGAUUCUCGGACACUGUUUUGCCUAUGGUGGACCCUUGCGAAGAUUUCUACGAGCAUGUCUGUGGCGGAUGGCUGCUGAGGACUCAUGUUCCACUGGAUGCUUUCGCCGUCAAUGUCUUCUCUGAGAGUCAAGCCAAGUUCAACGAUGAUAUUAUGGACAAGCUGAACCAUUCGAUUGUAUCUUACCGAGGCCAGAACGCCCUGCAAAAGGCUGCAGCUUUUUACCUAGGCUGCAUCAAUGU